rnacentral:rRNA from 1 species
CCUACGGGUGGCAGCAGUGGGGAAUAUUGCACAAUGGGGGAAACUCUGAUGUAGCAACGCCGCGUGAGUGAAGCAGUAUUUCGGUAUGUAAAGCUCUAUUAUCAGGGAAGAAGCAAGACGGUACCUGACUAAGAAGCCCCGGCUAAUUACUUGCCAGCAGCCGCGGUAAUUCUUCGGGGGCAAGCGUUAUCCGGGUGUUAUGGGUGUAAAGGGGGCGUAGACGGCUGUGCAAGUCUGAAGUGAAAGCCCGUGGAUCAAACGAGGAACCGCUUUGGAAACUGUAUAGCUUGAGUGCUGGAGAGGCAAGCGGAAUUCCUAGUGUAGCGGUGAAAUGCGUAGAUAUUAGGAGGAACACCAGUGGCGAAAGCGGCCUGCUGGACAGAAACUGACGUUGAGGCUCGAAAGCGUGGGGAGCAAACAGGAUUAGAUACCCCGGUAGUC